CGCGUAGGCGGUCUGUUAAGUCCGAUGUCAAAUCCCGGGGCUCAACCCCGGACUCGGCGUUGGAUACUGGCAGGCUGGACGGCUGGAGAGGCGAGUGGAAUUACCAGUGUAGCGGUGGAAUGCGUAGAUACUGGUAGGAACACCCAUUGCGAAGGCAGCUCGCUGGACAGCACGUGACGCUGAGGCGCGAAAGUGUGGGGAGCAAACC
rnacentral:rRNA from 1 species